rnacentral:lncRNA from 1 species
CUUUCUCUAGUAAAAGUGUUAUCUGAUUAACUUUCAAACAAACUUUUAAUAAUAAAGUGUAGUCAAACAAAGUGAGCAGUAUUGAAAGUUUGAUUUUCUUUCUUUCCUUUUAUACUUUGUGGAAGACAAGUGAGACCACAUUGAAAUUGAUUCAUUUGGGCGCGGCAACAAUUUUUGGGAGUCUGAGCAACAUAGCUUUGAAGCAACAAGAUUUGAUAGGGCCCUUUCUUGUUUCAGAUAAUAAUAGCACAUGUACUGUGAUGAUUAUAUAGCAUAUACAAUUUUCUUCAUCACAGGUAGAUGGGCAUUUGUUUUUUUCUUCAAUCAUUUUCAACAAUGGUCUAGAUUCCAUCAUUUUCAC